UACGUAGGGGGCAAGCGUUGUCCGGAUUUAUUGGGCGUAAAGCGCUCGCAGGCGGCCUGAUGCGUCGUGCGUGAAACACCCCGGCUCAACUGGGGAGGGUCGUGCGAUACGGCCAGGCUCGAGGCCAGUAGGGGGAUGCGGAAUUCCGGGUGUAGUGGUGGAAUGCGUAGAGAUCCGGAGGAACACCAGCGGCGAAGGCGGCAUCCUGGACUGGUACUGACGCUCAGGAGCGAAAGCGUGGGGAGCGAUCCGG
rnacentral:rRNA from 1 species